rnacentral:rRNA from 1 species
UACGUAGGGGGCAAGCGUUGUCCGGAAUCAUUGGGCGUAAAGCGCGUGUAGGCGGCCCGGCAAGUCCGCUGUGAAAGUCGGGGGCUCAACCCUCGGAUGCCGGUGGAUACUGUCGGGCUCGAGUACGGAAGAGGCGAGUGGAAUUCCUGGUGUAGCGGUGAAAUGCGCAGAUAUCAGGAGGAACACCGAUUGCGAAGGCAGCUCGCUGGGACGUUACUGACGCUGAGACGCGAAAGCGUGGGGAGCAAACAGG